rnacentral:rRNA from 1 species
GACGAACGCUGGCGGCGUGCCUAAUACAUGCAAGUCGAACGAACUCUGGUAUUGAUUGGUGCUUGCAUCAUGAUUUACAUUUGAGUGAGUGGCGAACUGGUGAGUAACACGUGGGAAACCUGCCCAGAAGCGGGGGAUAACACCUGGAAACAGAUGCUAAUACCGCAUAACAACUUGGACCGCAUGGUCCGAGUUUGAAAGAUGGCUUCGGCUAUCACUUUUGGAUGGUCCCGCGGCGUAUUAGCUAGAUGGUGGGGUAACGGCUCAUCAUGGCAAUGAUACGUAGCCGACCUGAGAGGGUAAUCGGCCACAUUGGGACUGAGACACGGCCCAAACUCCUACGGGAGGCAGCAGUAGGGAAUCUUCCACAAUGGACGAAAGUCUGAUGGAGCAACGCCGCGUGAGUGAAGAAGGGUUUCGGCUCGUAAAACUCUGUUGUUAAAGAAGAACAUAUCUGAGAGUAACUGUUCAGGUAUUGACGGUAUUUAACCAGAAAGCCACGGCUAACUACGUGCCAGCAGCCGCGGUAAUACGCAGGUGGCAAGCGUUGUCCGGAUUUAUUGGGCGUAAAGCGAGCGCAGGCGGUUUUUUAAGUCUGAUGUGAAAGCCUUCGGCUCAACCGAAGAAGUGCAUCGGAAACUGGGAAACUUGAGUGCAGAAGAGGACAGUGGAACUCCAUGUGUAGCGGUGAAAUGCGUAGAUAUAUGGAAGAACACCAGUGGCGAAGGCGGCUGUCUGGUCUGUAACUGACGCUGAGGCUCGAAAGUAUGGGUAGCAAACAGGAUUAGAUACCCUGGUAGUCCAUACCGUAAACGAUGAAUGCUAAGUGUUGGAGGGUUUCCGCCCUUCAGUGCUGCAGCUAACGCAUUAAGCAUUCCGCCUGGGGAGUACGGCCGCAAGGCUGAAACUCAAAGGAAUUGACGGGGGCCCGCACAAGCGGUGGAGCAUGUGGUUUAAUUCGAAGCUACGCGAAGAACCUUACCAGGUCUUGACAUACUAUGCAAAUCUAAGAGAUUAGACGUUCCCUUCGGGGACAUGGAUAC